rnacentral:rRNA from 1 species
AUUGAACGCUGGCGGCAUGCUUUACACAUGCAAGUCGAACGGUAACAGGUUAAGCUGACGAGUGGCGAACGGGUGAGUAAUGCAUCGGAACGUGCCCGAUCGUGGGGGAUAACGCAGCGAAAGCUGCGCUAAUACCGCAUACGAUCUGAGGAUGAAAGCGGGGGACCGUAAGGCCUCGCGCGAUCGGAGCGGCCGAUGUCAGAUUAGGUAGUUGGUGGGGUAAAGGCUCACCAAGCCAACGAUCUGUAGCUGGUCUGAGAGGACGACCAGCCACACUGGGACUGAGACACGGCACAGACUCCUACGGGAGUCAGCAGUGGGGAAUUUUGGACAGUGGGCGAAAGCCUGAUCCAGCAAUGCCGCGUGCAGGAAGAAGGCCUUCGGGUUGUAAACUGCUUUUGUACGGAGCGAAAAGGUUCUCUCUAAUACAGAGGGCUCAUGACGGUACCGUAAGAAUAAGCACCGGCUAACUACGUGCCAGCAGCCGCGGUAA